UACGGAGGGAGCUAGCGUUAUUCGGAAUUACUGGGCGUAAAGCGUACGUAGGCGGCUUUGCAAGUUAGAGGUGAAAGCCUGGAGCUCAACUCCAGAACUGCCUUUAAAAACUGCAUCGCUUGAAUCCAGGAGAGGUGAGUGGAAUUCCGAGUGUAGAGGUGUAAAUUCGUAGAUAUCGGAAGGAACACCAGUGGCGAAAGACG
rnacentral:rRNA from 1 species